rnacentral:misc_RNA from 1 species
AACUGAUACUACCUGCGGGAACCUGCGGAAGGAUCAUUAAAGAGAAAACUGCCCUUUGGGUAGAUUUCCCACCCUUUGUUUACUUUACCUUUGUUGCUUUGGCAGGCCCGUCUUCUGACCACCGGCUUCUAGCUGGUCCGUGCCUGCCAGAGGACCCCCAACUCUUGAUUUUAAGUUGUCCGAGUCUUAUAUAAUAGUAAAAACUUUCAGCAACGGAUCUCUAGAUCGGAAGAGCACACG